UCAGUAACGGCGAGUGAAGCGGCAAAGCUCAAAUUUGAAAUCUGGCUCCUUCGGGGUCCGAGUUGUAAUUUGGAGAGGAUGCUCUGGGGGUGGUCGCGGUCUAAGUCCCCUGGAACGGGGCGUCGCAGAGGGUGAGAAUCCCGUCUUCGGCCGGCCGACCAUGCCCGUGUAGAGCUCCUUCGACGAGUCGAGUUGUUUGGGAAUGCAGCUCUAAAUGGGUGGUAAAUUUCAUCUAAAGCUAAAUACUGGUCGGAGACCGAUAGCGCACAAGUAGAGUGAUCGAAAGAUGAAAAGCACUUUGAAAAGAGAGUUAAACAGCAUGUGAAAUUGUUGAAAGGGAAGCACAAGCGACCAGAGUCGGCCGCGGGGGUUCAGCAGGGGUCCUCCCCUGUGUAUUCCCCCGUGGUCGGGCCAGCAUCAGUUCUGGCGGCCGGUCAAAGGCUCCGGGAAUGUGUCGCCCUUCGGGACGACUUAUAGCCCGGGGUGCAAUGCGGCCAGCCGGGACUGAGGAACGCGCUUCGGCACGGAUGCUGGCUUAAUGGCCGUUUGUGGCCCGUCUUGAAACACGGACCAAGGAGUCUAACAUCCACGCGAGUGUUCGGGUGUCAAACCCGUCCGCGCAGUGAAAGCGAACGGAGGUGAGAGCCCCUCGAGGGUGCAUCAUCGACCGAUCCUGAAGUCUUCGGAUGGAUUUGAGUAUGAGCGUGGCUGUUGGGACCCGAAAGAUGGUGAACUAUGCCUGAAUAGGGUGAAGCCAGAGGAAACUCUGGUGGAGGCUCGCAGCGGUUCUGACGUGCAAAUCGAUCGUCAAAUUUGGGUAUAGGGGCGAAAGACUAAUCGAACCAUCU
rnacentral:rRNA from 1 species